CAGACAGUCGCUCAUACCAGGGCUGUGUCUCAAAUGGCACUCUAUUCCAUAUAUAGAGCCUGGUCAAAAGUAGUGCACUAAAUAGGGAAUAGGGUGUCUUUUGGGAUCAGCCCAGAAGUCACACCGCUACAGCUGAGCCUAGAAGUUGAGCCUGGAAGAAGCCUUGUUAAAAUUCUAUUCUAUGGGGGCUGGGGUGGCAAACCACUCACUGAGGCACCCACCCAUGGUGUCUUGGUUUGGAAAGAAAGGAGGGCUGGACUGGGCGCCGGCCCGGAAGUGGUGUCAAUCCUAUGCAGGGAAUGUGAAUGACUAUUGAACCAAUACACCACCAGAUAUCCACUCUUUCAGCAUGGUGGUGGACAGAAUGGGACACCAUGAAACUUUUGUUCUAGUCUGUGAGUCUGAUGGGUUAAUACAUGAAUAUGCAUGAUUUGGUGUGAAUAACAUGUAAGUAGGCCAGUCGUGUGACUGUUUCAUCGUUCAAAUCCCUAGUCACUCAUCAUAUGCUCUGAUGGUGACAACUUCUCUCCCAGACUUGAUCAGAUCAGACAGGAGUGUUGAGGAAUGGGAAUAAUAUGCUUCAGCUAAUUAAUCUUGAGUUUUACAAAAAUGACAAAAAGUAGCUUAUUGGGUGGUAAACAAACUGUAAAUUGGACCUUUUUUUUACAGCUUUUGCUUAUCGUCCCAUAUAAAAUAAAUUCUAUAGUAUCACAGCCAGGGGACUUUUUAGUAUGCUUUUUUUUAAUCAAGUGAUUGCCUGUGCAAAAUAGAGCUGCUUUCUGUCUGUUUUUAGUAGGCAAAAGAUGCAUCUAAAACAGUGGAGGCUGCUGAGGGGAGGACGGCUCAUAAUAAUGACUGGAAAGGAGCUAAUGGAAUGGCAUCAGACACAUGGAACCCAUGUGUCUGUAUUUGAUACCAUUCCACUAAUUCCGCUCCAGCCAUUACCAUGAGCCUGUCCUCCCCAAUUAAGGUGCCACCAACCUCCUGUGAUCUAAAAGUCUUGUUACAUUUUGGGAAUUUUGCUGAUGCUCUCAUCACACCAUAGUGCCAUCAGAAGUCUGAUAGCAAUGUAGGGUGAAAGAGGGCAACAAAAUUGUGAACUGCUGCACAAAUGUAUCUUGUUACAAAAAACCUUGGAUUGUAGUUCAGGCCGGCAGUGAAAUACAAAUGACAAAAUAUUCCAAAGUAAUUGAAAUACAUAUUUUACAGAAUUACUGCCCGUCUCUGCAUUUACCCAUUAAGCCAAAUGAAUACAACUAUUUGGAAGCCAUUUUGUCUAUCACCCUUAUGCAGUAAGUCAUAUAAGAUGGCUGCCAUUUUUAAGGGUCCAUUCUUGCUUUCCUGUCCCAAGAGAGUACUUCAUGCUCACUGAUGUCUCGGGUCCUCUGAACAGCUCUUUUAUGGGUCUAUUAUGCCUCUGUGUUAUACUGUGUAUAAGGAUUCAGACUCAUAAUUAAUUUCAGAAUAAUUGCAUUCAGUAUUUCAGAAUGUUAUUUUGGUGUUCAUGAAAAAAAUAUUGUUUUCACAAUUUCUUUAUGCAGAUCUGUUGGGAUUUCAGAAUUUAUGGAAAAAUGCCUCCUGGUAAUGGAAGUGUUUGGUAUCUGUUUACUAAUAGGCUGUCGUUUGAGAAGCUUUGGAAGGUUGUGGUUUACCUUAGAAGCACAUCAUGAUAUAAACCAUGCUUUACGACUUGGUACUCAUUUAUAAACCAAUUGAUCUAUCACACUUUUAAGUGCCUAAACCUGAACUCUAGGUUUCAAGGGACAAGACCAUUUCUGUAUCAAUAUUUCGUCACUGGGUGGCCACACCGCCGGAAGGUACUAGGUAGUAGUACAUGUGUGUGUAGAGGUGGUGUAUAACAGGCGGUGGGGUUUGGAGUAACGAGGACGUGAAUAUUUAAUGAAGUGUGCACACACGUUUAAAAGGAACACCUAGCUCUGUCUGUAUGCUGGCUUAAAUACCAGAGCUAAUUAACACACAGGUGGGCUGUCAUGAUGAAUAGCAGGGAGGGAGCGCACGCGCACACACUCUUCCGCAGCAUUCACACAGAGCGGCUGUACCAUUUAUUAAUCAAACAUGAAAUGAGGAGAGAGGAGGAAAGGCUCUAGGGUCGUGCACCUUGGGGAGAGGGAGAUAUUGUUGGGACAGAGGGUUUCAAUCAUAUUGGCUGUGAGUGUGUGUGUGAGGUAUUUGACCGUAGACAGGAACCAAACCAGGUCUAAGUAAAGAGACCGAACCCUGGAAAAAUACAAAAUAACCACAGAUAUUUUUGUAACCUGAAAACCUCUUACAAUAACAGAGAUAUUGACAGAUUUACAUUUGAUUAUAAUUGUUCAUUUGUCUUCGGACUAUCCUUAGUGUGUAGGGCCCUAACAGAGCAAUAGUAGCAGGAGAAGAGGGGCCUCUGUCAGGCCAGCCACACCGCACUCGUCUUGCUGACUGGGUGAUAAUGGAUAACAAAGUCGGCCUCACAAUCUCUGCGUCCCAAACGGCACCCGAUUUCCAACAUUGGUCAAAAGUAGUGCACCGACCCCAUAGUGUUGUCUGUAGAAUGAUUUCAAAUCUGGAUGAUUUCAACACUUUGAGAUUAUGGAGUGGUAUCACCCUCUCUCACCUCACUUAAGACAGUACAGUGUUAAGUGCUCUGGCCUGUGGGGACUGUAAAUCAGGGGGGGGCGAUGUCUCCCCAGGGGCAGAGCACACGCUCCCUGGCCUGCAGUCUCGAGUGUAGGCUGAUCUAAUCCAGCUCAUCUUCCUGGAGGUUUAAUUACGACGCCUGGUCAAUUAGAGGGAGGAUAGCUCCAAUACAAAGGGGAGAGAGAGGGGGAGAGGUAUAGAAGGGACAGCCUCACUAUGUAGCCUAGUGGUUAGAGCGUUGGGUCAGUAUCCGAAAGGUUGCUGGAUCAAAUCCCCGAGCAGACAAGGUAAAAAAAACAUCUGUCGUUCUGCCCAAGCAAGGCAGUUAACCCACUGUUCCCCGGGCGCCGAAGACGUGGAUGUUGAUUAUGGCAGCCCCCUGCACCUCCCUCAUUCAGAG
rnacentral:lncRNA from 1 species